rnacentral:rRNA from 1 species
GCAGCCGCCGCGGGAAUACGAAGGGUGCAAGCGUUACUCGGAAUUACUGGGCGUAAAGCGUGCGUAGGUGGUGGUUUAAGUCCGUUGUGAAAGCCCUGGGCUCAACCUGGGAAUUGCAGUGGAUACUGGGUCACUAGAGUGUGGUAGAGGAUAGUGGAAUUUCCGGUGUAGCAGUGAAAUGCGUAGAGAUCGGAAGGAACAUCUGUGGCGAAGGCGACUAUCUGGGCCAACACUGACACUGAGGCACGAAAGCGUGGGGAGCAAACAGGAUUAGAUACCCCUGUAGUCCCUGUCUCUUAUAC